GGCUCAGAACGAACGCUGGCGGCGUGCCUAACACAUGCAAGUCGAGCGAGAAAGCCCGCAAGGGUGAGUAAAGCGGCGAACGGGUGCGUAACACGUGGGUAAUCUGCCCUGGAGUCCGGAAUAACUUCCCGAAAGGGAUGCUAAUGCCGGAUGAGACCACGGGAGCUCCGGCUCCCGCGGGAAAAGGUGGCCUCUGUAUACAAGCUAUCGCUCCAGGAUGAGCCCGCGGCCCAUCAGCUCGUUGGCGGGGUAAUGGCCCACCAAGGCUACGACGGGUAGCUGGUCUGAGAGGACGAUCAGCCACACUGGAACUGAGACACGGUCCAGACUCCUACGGGAGGCAGCAGUGGGGAAUCUUGCGCAAUGGGCGAAAGCCUGACGCAGCAACGCCGCGUGUGUGAUGAAGGUCUUCGGAUCGUAAAGCACUGUCGCGAGGGACGAAUAAGGGGCGGGCUAACAUCCUGUUCCGAUGACGGUACCUCGAGAGGAAGCACCGGCUAACUCUGUGCCAGCAGCCGCGGUAAUACAGAGGGUGCAAGCGUUGUUCGGAAUUAUUGGGCGUAAAGCGCGUGUAGGCGGCUCAGCAAGUCAGGUGUGAAAGCCCUCGGCUUAACCGAGGAAGUGCGCCUGAAACUAUUGAGCUUGAGUGCCGGAGAGGGUGGCGGAAUUCCCGGUGUAGAGGUGAAAUUCGUAGAUAUCGGGAGGAACACCAGUGGCGAAGGCGGCCACCUGGACGGUAACUGACGCUGAGACGCGAAAGCGUGGGGAGUAAACAGGAUUAGAUACCCUGGUAGUCCACGCUGUAAACGAUGAGCGCUAGGUGUUGUGGGUGUUGACCCCCGCAGUGCCGCAGCUAACGCAUUAAGCGCUCCGCCUGGGAAGUACGGCCGCAGGGCUAAAACUCAAAU
rnacentral:rRNA from 1 species